UAUACCUGUGGUCACAAAUGACAAUAUACGCAAAGUUCAUUAUCGAUCAUAUUCAAACCAGAAAUGCCACAAAGGCUUCCCAACCAUGCGGUAUACCUGUGGUGACAAAUCGCAAUAUACGCAAAGUUCAUAAUCGAUCAUAUCCAAACCAGAGCAAGCAAUGCCACAAAGGCAUCCUGACCUCAUCGUUCGACGCUUCCUGAGCCAAGACUUGGUCAAACUCGAAAAUGCGUUCGGUCUUACCCUCAACUACCUUGACCUGAAAGGCAACAAGGAGCCAUUCUCAACCAAGGCACAAUGCGUGCAGACAUAUGGCGAGCAUUGACUGCACAAGGGUAUGGCGGGCAGCACCGCGCCCUUGCCUGUGUCCCCCCUGACAUCCUUUACGUUACAAGGACGAAUCCGUACAAAGACUUGUACGCGCCCGGGGGUGAGCGCAGCCUCGCGUUCUGUGAAAAAAAAGAUUUUAUACAUAAGAGACGUUAUACAUAAGAGACGUUAUACAUAAGAGACGUUAUACAUAAGAGACGUUAUACAUAAGAGACGUUAUACAUAAGAGACGUUAUACACGAGAGACGUUAUACACGAGAGACGUUAUACACGAGAGACGUUAUACACGAGAGACGUUAUACAUCAGAAACGUUAUACAUGAGAGACGUUAUACAUGAGAGACGUUAUACACGAGAGACGUUAUACACGAGAGACGUUAUACAUGAGAGACGUUAUACAUGAGAGACGUUAUACAGGAGAGACGUUAUACACGAGAGACGUUAUACAUGUGGCUGAAAGAGAAAUAUAAACAUGCUCUGUAUAUGAUCGACAUACAUAGUAGAGAGCAUACACCUUAUAGUAAAAUCGCGGAACGCAAGAGACAAAACGUCUUUCAUUUGUUUUCCCACAAACUCGAUAACGCAACAACACGGAUUGUUAAAGCUUGAAUUGAUUUCUCCUAAAGCAAUUUCCGGUUGUAGGGCGUAUGCAAAUUAGACGUACUAUAAUCUUUGGUAUUUCCAUGUCUUGAUAAAAAUCGAUCAAUUAGCUAUAUGAGGCAAACUAGCCACGAGGUGUCGUUAUGAAUAUCAUACAGAGCGUUUAGACCGAACUCGUCACCAUCCAUUUGAAUUUCUUCAGAACCAAACAUUAAGAUCUAUAAGGCAUUUUCCGAGUCUUAAGAACCUUUAGUCAACGGGGUAAAGAUCUGUGAAGGUUCGAUUAAAAUUGAUAGCCUCUAAUGUGUAGAGGUAAUGUUACCUUUGCAAAUUUUGAGACUUCGCUGAAUCAUGAUGUUCUUAUUCUUAAAUAGCGUGUCGCAUGUGGCGAAAGAAUCAGCACACAAGUCUUUUCUUUCAC